rnacentral:rRNA from 1 species
UAGUCCACGCCGUAAACGAUGGAUACUAGCUGUUCGGAACUUGUUCUGAGUGGCUAAGCGAAAGUGAUAAGUAUCCCACCUGGGGAGUACGUUCGCAAGAAUGAAACUCAAAGGAAUUGACGGGGGCCCGCACAAGCGGUGGAGCAUGUGGUUUAAUUCGAUGAUACGCGAGGAACCUUACCAGGGCUUAAAUGUAGUCUGACAGGGCCAGAAAUGGCUUUUUCUUCGGACAGAUUACAAGGUGCUGCAUGGUUGUCGUCAGCUCGUGCCGUGAGGUGUCAGGUUAAGUCCUAUAACGAGCGCAACCCCUGUUGUUAGUUGCCAUCGAGUAAUGUCGGGAACUCUAACAAGACUGCCGGUGCAAACCGUGAGGAAGGUGGGGAUGACGUCAAAUCAUCACGGCCCUUACGUCCUGGGCCACACACGUGCUACAAUGGUAGGUACAGAGAGCAGCCACUGCGUGAGCAGGAGCGAAUCUUCAAAACCUAUCUCAGUUCGGAUCGG